AAUAUUAAAUUAGACAGCAUUAUGUGAUAGUGUGAUUUACUCCCUCCGUUUCCAUAUUAUCUGCCCAUUAGAUAAAGACAUAAAACCUCUUUUGGCAUGGAGAUUAAGAAGACCAAACGAAUUUUUUGUUGGGGUAUCAUAAUAUUGUUUUGUGCAAAUUUAUUUUGGAACUGAGAAAGUAGUUUUACUGUUGCCAUGGAUUAUACUCAGCAAAACAUAUCAUUUUCUGUUAAGAUUCUAAAUUUUCAUACCUCCUGAACGAACUGCUUGUUUGUGACGCUAUUUUUGCAAUGCAGAACCUUAACCGCCACAGUGGUGUGGUGCAACUUGCACUUGUAGACAGUCCCGAACGCACCCGCCCCUAUCUUAUACUCCUCUGACAAGGACGAAGUGGCUUCUACGAUCUCGUCCCAGAUACCAAAUCAGAAAGCUUGACAGUCACAGUGGGAUGGAAGGCGUAGGACUGUAGGUUUGUUUAUCUUGACUAGCUCUGGUCGUGUGAUCUUUGCAUUACUUUCAAGACGUAGUUGCUGAAGCUUUCCAUCACCAAUGACAUACACUGAACAAAAAGUGGGAGCAUUCUCUGAGAUAACUUGUGAUAAGUCAUCUCCCCUGAUCAGUGACAGAUUUUUCCUGCAAGAAAAAAAGUGAUCUCCUAAAAUGAGCAAAUUCGUCAUGGAAAGAAGACGUGAAAACAUCAAUGAAUCAUGCAACAAGGUACUAUUGUUAUUUUCGGGUACACGUAUAUGAGCUUGAACGUGACAUCGCCCUCUGGAAGGAAUUUAUCCAAUGCCCAUUUCAAGAUGAACUUGCUUUUACGACUACAAGUUAGUGCGACUCCAACAAGAAAUUUCCCUUCAUCAGCGGCUUUCCUUUCUGCCAUUUCCUGACAGUUAGCGGUUCUGCGUGGAAAAACAUGGUAAGUCUUGCACAAAUAUUUGUUUAACUUGCAUUGUUCUCUAAUUCUGUGAUCACUCAUUAUGAUCUAGGCAAACAUUUCAUAUGUAUCUAGCAAACUGAGACAUGAUAUGUGCUCAUUUAUAGACCUAGGCAAACAUGACUGAAUAAAUGCUUGUAGGCCGCUUUUCAAGCCGAUCUCUGCAAAACCAUAGCCUAGCCACCCAGGGGCGUACCAUAGGGGGGGCGGGCGGGAGCCUCGGCACCCCCUAAGUCCCGAUUUUUUAGAAAAAACUAGUGUAAUAAUAUUGAAUUUUUUUUUAAAAAAAUAGGUAAAUUUCUUACUUGGCCUCCCUAAAAGAUGCAAAAAUAAGGUUUUUUUCCCGCUUCUGUAACCAACAGUUCAUCGGUUGCCAUGGGGAACCCAAGCAUGUUGCCAAGAAUCCAUCUUAAAAGCACCAAAACCGUGAUAUAACGGUACCCGGUUUUAACGGUACGGUUCCGGUUCAUGAAAAUGCCGAACCGGAAUUUCCGAUCACGGUGGUUAACUACCCACGAACACCCCUAGUAUAAACUUAUUGGCAUUUCUUAAAACUACGAGUGCACAACACAUAAAUGUACUUCCUCCGUUCUUUUUCAAUUGCAAUACUCAAUGAUCAGAAUGCUUCUACGCGUAAAACACAAUUCUAUUUAUACCAAUAAUCAAGAAAAAACAAUGUGAAAAUUAGAGAACAUACCAA